CCUCCCUUCCCCCUCGGCCAGCGCCCAGCGAUGCGGGGCCGGCGCGGCAGGCCGCCCAAGCAGCAGCAGCCGGCGGCGGCCGCCGCUCCGGCGAGCGCCCCGGCCCCGGCAGGCCCCAUCGGCGGGCUGCGCUCCCGGCAGCGCGGCAGCAGCCGCGGCAGGUGGGCGGCCGCGGCCCAGGCGGAGACGGCGGGGCCCAAGCAGAAGGGAGCCGGCGCUGCCCAGGCCUCGUCGCCCGCCGCCGCCGCCUCGCCCAGGGGGGGCGGCAAGAGGAAGGCGGGCGGCGGCGGCAGCAGCACCCCCGGUGGGGGAGGCAGCGGCGGUAAGGGCAGGGGCAGGGCCGGGGCGGCAGGAGCAGGGGGAGGAGGAGGCGCAGGAGGCAGCUGCAACAGCCAAGGCAGGGCUGCCUCGUCCAGGAGGAGCAUCAGCAAAGUGGUGUACGACGAUCAUGAGAGCGAAGAGGAGGAGGAGGAGAGCAUGGUGUCCGAGGAGGAGGAGGAGGGAGACCCCGAGGAUAACCAGGACUCCGAGGAGGAAGAAGAGGAGGAGAUAAUGGAGGAAGAGGACGACGACGACUCUGACUACCCCGAAGAGAUGGAGGAUGAAGACGAUGCCAGUUAUUGCACUGAGAGCAGCUUCAGGAGCCACAGCACCUACAGCAGCACCCCAGGUAGGAGAAGACAGAGAGCACAUCGUCCUCGUUCUCCAAUAUUGGAAGAAAAAGAUAUCCCACCCUUGGAGUUUCCUAAAUCCUCAGAGGACUUAAUGGUGCCUAGUGAGCAUAUAAUGAAUGUUAUUGCCAUCUAUGAGGUACUGAGGAACUUUGGCACUGUUUUGCGCCUCUCUCCUUUUCGUUUUGAGGACUUCUGUGCUGCUCUGGUAAGUCAAGAGCAGUGCACACUCAUGGCAGAGAUGCACAUAGUGCUGUUAAAAGCAGUUUUACGUGAAGAAGACACUUCAAAUACUACCUUUGGACCUGCUGACCUCAAAGAUAGCGUUAAUUCCACUUUGUAUUUCAUAGAUGGGAUGACGUGGCCAGAGGUUCUGCGGGUAUAUUGUGAGAGUGACAAGGAAUACCAUCAUGUUCUUCCUUACCAAGAGACAGAGGACUAUCCUUAUGGACCAGUAGAGAAUAAAAUCAAAGUUCUGCAGUUCUUAGUGGAUCAGUUUCUUACCACAAACAUUGCACGUGAGGAGUUGAUGUCAGAAGGGGUUAUUCAGUAUGAUGAUCAUUGUAGGGUUUGUCACAAACUCGGGGAUUUGCUGUGCUGUGAGACCUGCUCGGCCGUGUACCACCUGGAGUGUGUGAAGCCGCCCCUGGAGGAGGUGCCCGAGGACGAGUGGCAGUGUGAGGUCUGUGUGGCACACCAGGUGCCCGGGGUGACUGACUGUGUGGCUGAAAUCCAAAAAAACAAACCCUACAUCCGCCACGAGCCCAUCGGCUACGACCGGCACCGGCGGAAAUACUGGUUCCUGAACAGGAGGAUCAUCAUAGAGGAAGAUUCAGAAAGUGAGAAGGAUAAGAAAAUCUGGUACUACAGCACCAAGAUCCAGCUGGCAGAGUUAAUUGAAUGCCUGGACAAGGAUUACUGGGAGGCUGACCUAUGCAAAACCCUGGAGGAGAUGCGUGAGGAAGUUCAUCGGCACAUGGAUGUGACAGAAGACCUUACAAACAAAGCAAGGGGCAGCAACAAGUCUUUCCUUUCUGCAGCAAAUGAUGAAAUUUUGGACAUUAUCAGAGCAAGAAAAGGAGAAAUAGUGGAAGAUAAAAACACAGGAGAUGAGGAAGCAGAAAAGGCCAAAAGUGAUGUUGAUAAUGACCAGACAGAUGCUGAGAGAGACAAGGAAGAAUCUGGAGACCAAGAUAAAAUUGAGGAAACACAGAGUGAGCAAGAUGUGGAAAAAGAGAAAACAGAAGAGGCAACAGUCGUUGGGGAUAAAAGUAACAGUGUGAGCUGCAGCCCUGAUGACAGCACCACAAACCCUCCUGCAGGAGAGGAUGGUUGCUCUGAAGGGAAGGACGCACUGGGGUGUCAGUCAGAAAGCCUUGAUAGCAACAACGUGGCAGAGAAGAAGGUGGCAUCAGAGCUCCCUCUGCAACUCUCAGAAGAAACUGGUCAGAUGAUCCCCAGCAGUGGCUCUGCUGCCCCUCCACAGGCAGAGGUUGAGAACAGCAGUGGCAGCGAGCUGGGCUCUGGCCACAAUGACUCCAUUAAAACUCUUGAUGAUGCUGAAAAUGCAGAGAGGGGAUCCCAGGCUUCAGAGGAUUUAGGAGAGAAAUCCAAUGGUGACAGAAGUGAUUCUCCAGGGGCAGGGAAGGGCACGCCAGGCUCGACACGGAUGCUCACCAGAUUGAGAAAUCCAGACAGCAAACUGAGCCAGAUGAAAAGCCAGCAGGUUGCUGCUGCAGCAAAUGAAGCAAAUAAGUUAUAUAAAGAAACCAGAGAGGUUCUGGUGGUCAACUCCCAAGGGGAAGUGUCCCGAGUGAACACCAAGAAGGACGUGGUGAUUAAAGGAAAUAUCAACAACUAUUUCAAGCUGGGGCAGGAGGGGAAGUACCGUGUGUAUCACAACCAAUAUGCCACCAACUCCUUUGCUCUGAACAAGCACCAGCACAGGGAGGACCAUGACAAGAGGAGACACCUCUCCCACAAAUUCUGCCUGACCCCAGCUGGAGAGUUCAAGUGGAACGGGUCUGUGCAUGGCUCCAAAGUUCUCACCAUAUCCACCCUGAGGCUGACCAUUAUUCAGCUGGAAAACAAUAUCCCAGCAUCCUUCCUUCACCCUAAUUGGGCUUCCCACAGGUCUAACUGGAUUAAGGCUGUUCAGAUGUGCAGCAAACCCAGAGAAUUUGCACUAGCACUGGCUAUUUUGGAGUGUGCAAUCAAACCAGUUGUCAUGCUGCCCAUCUGGAGGGAAUCCUUGGGGCAUACAAGAUUACGCAGAAUGACAGCAAUAGAAAGAGAAGAAAAGGAGAAAGUGAAAAAAAAAGAGAGAAAGCAAGAAGAAGAAGAAACAAUGCAGCAAGCUACAUGGGUGAAAUACACAUUUCCUGUCAAACACCAGGUUUGGAAGCAAAAAGGAGAGGAAUAUAGAGUAACAGGAUAUGGUGGCUGGAGCUGGAUUAGUAAAACCCAUGUCCACAGGUUUAUGCCCAAACUGCCAGGAAAUACUAAUGCAAAUUACAGAAAAUUGCUAUCAACAAAGAGCGAAGAUGAAAAAUGCAGCUUGGAUAAACGAAAAGGUACAGCUAAGGUAAAAGCAGAGAAAGACAGAGCAAAGGAUUCUCGAGAUCUGCAAGCAAAAGACAAAGAUGUUUCAGAAACCUUGGAGAAAGUACAAGUUAAAGAAGAAAAGUUGCGUGAAGACAAAUUAGAAGUUGACACAAUUUCUGAAAACUUAGAUCAUGCAAAAGACACAGUGGAAAAAGACACCGAUGGUGAAAAUGAUAAAGUCAUCAAAGAAGAACCUAUGGAUGUGGAUGAUGUGAAAAUUGAAUCCUCCAUAAAAGAUGAGGACAGUCAUUGUAAGCGGGAUAUAAUCAAUGUCAGUGAGGGAUUUCAUUUAAGGACUUGCUACAAAAGGAAAGUAAAAUCAUCAAAAUUAGAUGGGCUCCUGGAGCGGCGAAUCAAACAGUUCACCCUGGAGGAAAAACAGCGUCUGGAAAAGAUGAAGCUGGAGGCUGGUGCUAAAACUGGGGGCAUUCGAUCUGUGAGCCCCCAGAAAAACCCAGAGGAGCUCCAAGUGAGGAAUGGGAAGGAAGGAGGCCAGUUUGGCUCUCCUUCCCAGGAUCCAAGCUACAUUUCAGACAAGAGCCAAGCUGAAGAUGCAGAACAGGACUGUUUGCCCAUCAGCAAAGCUGGGGAUGAAGAUGAACCUUCCUUGCCUUUGUCCAACAGGCUCUCAAAAGAGGGGCAGCUGCUGGAUGAGGACUGCCCUCAAUCCUCUGAAGGAGACAGCUCUGCUCAGAAUGAUGGCAGAGCAAACAACCCUGAGCCUUCCAUUGCCAGUAAGCAUCAAGGACAGGAGGCUCUUGGAGAGUCUGAGAGCUCUUUAGUGGAUGGCUUGAAACAAACCAGUGCAGAAGGCAGAAUCAAAUGGGAUGUUUCAGAAGCAGCUGAAAAACCCUUGAAACAAAAGCUGCCUAUUACCAGAGUGUCUCAGCGAGAGCUUGGAAACUUAGGACCACUGGUACCUGAAAGCAGCUGUAGAAGAGAUGCUGUGGGCACUCUUGAAAAACCAGACUCAGAAGGGGAUUCUGAACAGCAAAGCAAAGAUCCAGAAAACAAUUGUAUGAUAAAAAGCCAUAUGGAAACCAUGUCCUCUCAAGAAAGUGAAAUGGAGGAAGAAAUUGCUCCUGUAAAGACUGAAAGUAAAUCUGAAAAGAUGAUAUUUCACCAAAAAUCAGCUAAUAAAGAUCUAGAAUCAUUUAAAACAGGGCUGAUUUCUGAAAGAAAUCUUGAAAGUCAAGGUCUGGAACACAUGGAUGGGGAAAAUGAUAACAAAGAUUUACUGAGCUCUAAACUAACAGAGGCUAAUGGUCGAAAGAAAGGUCAGGAACUGAAAGUGGAGACAGGUACCAUGAACAAAUAUCUUGAUCAGACAAAUGUAAAUACUAUUACUGACAAAAAGAAUAAUAAAGAUGAAGAAACUGAGACAGAAAAAGAAAAAUCAUCAUUUCAAAUGAAUGGAAAAGACAAUGAUAUUAAAGCAUUAUCAAAUGAUGACUGCUUAGUGAAAAAUACCUGUGAAGCUAAGGCAGGGGGUGAUAUUGAACCAAAAGUUAAUAAUAUUAAUAAAGCCAUUCCAGAACAUGAAAUAAAACCAUUGACUUUUAAGGAAUCUUCAGUAAAACCAUUCAUGAAUGGUGACAUCAUGGGAGAGGACACAAAGGAUAAAAAUAAUGUGGACUCAAGGUCACAUCUGCAGAGUUCACCUGAGUCUGGAGAGAAUCUUCAGCCACCAGAUGAAGUGCCCAAGUGUGUGCAGAAAACUGAAGAAAAGCAGCUUUCUCCUGAGAGAUCUGCCAGUGGGGGCUCUGCUUGCCUGCCAGCACAGCCUGUCUGUAAAGAAAAUAACCUGAACAGUGAAACAGAAUCUAUGGAGACUGAAGCAAGUGAGGAGAAGAAAGUUGCUCCAUCUCCUGUAACCUCGUGUGAGGAAUCCAGCUUGAGCAGUCACUUUGCUGACCAGAAUGGAAUAAAUAAAAUGGAAAAUAUCAAUGGAGAAAGUAAAAUGAAAACUGUUAUUACUGAAGUGACUACCACAACCUCAACUGUGUCCACAGAGUCCAAAACGGUGUUUAAGGUAGCAGAGACUGGAGCUGCCAGUGAUGAGAAGACCACGGUUGUUUCCUCUACAGAAAACUGUGCCAUCUCCACUGUCACCACCACCACCACUGUCACCAAGCUCACCACUCCAGCCUCAGAGAGUCACUCUGAUGUCAUCUCUGUGCAGGAGCACAGUAAAACAGUGGUGACCACCACAGUCACCGACUCGCUGACCACCCCAGAGGGCACUUUGGUGACUUCCAUGACUGUCAGCAAAGAGUAUUCCACAAAAGACAAAGUGAAGUUAAUGAAAUUCACAAGACCCAAAAAAACCCGUUCUGGAACUGCAUUGCCAUCUUAUAGGAAAUUUGUUACCAAAAGCAGUAAAAAAAGCAUAUUUGUUUUACCCAAUGAUGACUUGAAAAAGCUGGCCAGGAGAGGAGGGAUCAGAGAGGUUCCUUAUUUCAAUUACAAUGCAAAGCCUGCCUUGGAUAUCUGGCCAUAUCCAUCCCCAAGACCAACAUUUGGGAUCACUUGGAGGUACCGACUCCAAACAGUCAAAUCAUUGGCUGGAGUGAGCCUGAUGUUGAGGUUAUUGUGGGCAUGUCUCAAGUGGGAUGAUAUGGCAGCAAAAGCUCCCCCCGGGGGAGGAACCACAAGGACAGAAACAACUGAAACUGAAAUUACAACAACAGAAAUAAUCAAGCGGAGAGAUGUUGGUCCGUAUGGGAUCCGCUCCGAGUACUGUAUAAGAAAAAUCAUUUGUCCCAUUGGUGUACCAGAGGCUCCAAAAGAAACUCCAACGCCCCAGAGGAAGGGACUGCGAUCGAGUGCCCUCAGGCCAAAAAGGCCAGAAACACCCAAGCAAACAGGCCCUGUUAUAAUGGAAACUUGGGUAGCAGAGGAGGAGUUGGAACUGUGGGAGAUCAGGGCAUUUGCUGAAAGGGUGGAGAAGGAAAAGGCACAGGCAGUUGAACAACAGGCUAAGGUUAGUGAACAGAAGAAGGCAGAGGAGUUCAAGGCCCAAUUGGAGGCUCAGCUAAAACACCAACGUUUGGCUGCCCAGCAGAAGCGGCUGGAGCAGCAGAAGCAGAUCCCUGCAGGAGGGGUGGUCCCUGCAGCCAGCACAGCCAGCAGCACUGCAACCACAGUGUCCACACCCCAGAAAGUCGUGGUGGGCCCUCUGACAGGCCCUGUCCCCACAGGAACCAAAGUCGUGCUCACCACUAAAGUGGGGUCUCCAGCUACAGUAACAUUCCAACAGAACAAGAAUUUCCAUCAAACUUUUGCUACUUGGGUUAAGCAAGGCCAGUCUUCAACAGCCACUAGCACAGCUGCCAGCUCAGCCACGAGCAUUGCCAGCACAGGGCAGACCUUCCAGCUCUCAGGCAGCCCAGUAACGAUGGCAGGGAAAGUGAUAACUAAGCUGCCACUCCCUGCAAACAGCAAGAUUGUUGCCGUCAAUGUGCCAUCAACUCAAGGAGGUGUGGUUCAAGUUCAGCAAAAGGUAUUGGGUAUCAUUCCAUCAACUACAGGUGCAAGUCAAACCUUUACUUCAUUCCAGCCAAGGACAGCAACUGUAACCAUUAGGCCAAACACCACAGGGACAUUAGGAACAACAAGCACUUCACAAGUGGUGCAGGGGACGCCGCUGCGCCCCGGGAUGACGGUGAUCCGGACCCCGCUGCAGCAGCCCGCCCUUGGCAAGGCCAUCAUCAGAACACCUGUAGUGGUGCAACAAGGUAUUCUGCCAGCCAGUCAGACCCAGCAAGUGGUGACUCAGAUAAUCAGGGGUCAGCCUGUCUCAACAGCAGUUUCUAGUACCAGCACAGCUUCCUCCAGCACUGGGCAGAAAACCAUCACAAGUUCUGGGACAGCCCCUCAACAAGUUCAGCCUCAGACCCCCCCAGCUCCCCCGCGGCCCCAGCAGGGCCAGGUGAAGCUGACAAUGGCCCAGCUCACCCAGCUCACACAAGGGCAGGGUGGCAGUCAAGGCUUAACUGUGGUAAUUCAGGGACAAGGUCAAACUACUGGUCAGUUACAAUUAAUCCCUCAGGGUGUGACUGUAAUACCUGGUCCAGGACAGCAGCUUAUGCAAGCAGCUAUGCCAAAUGGUACAAUUCAGAGAUUUCUGUUCACCCCACUACCAGCAGCUGCUACUACAGCUAGCACAACUACAACCACCGUUUCUACUUCCACCUCGGGUGCGGGGGAAGCCAAGCCGGCUCUGCAGGCGGCUCCAGCAGCGGCCGUGCCCGCGGGGCAGGCCCAGCCCCAGGCCCAGGCCCAGCCCGCGGGGGCUCAGCCCCAGCCCGAGGCCCCGAGCCCGGCCGAGGCUCCCGCCGAGCCCGCGGCCCCUCCCGAGGCUCAGCCCUCCAAGUCCCCGGCUCAGUCUCCAGCCCCGGCUCCGGGGCUCCCUCCAGCGCCGCCCGCGGGGCUGCCCCCAGGCCAGGCCCAGGCCCAGCAUCCAGCUCAGGUGGUUAUGAAGCAGAAUGCUGUCAUAGAACAUUUGAAACAGAAGAAGACACUGACUCCAGCUGAGAGGGAAGAAAAUCAGAGAAUGAUUGUGUGCAACCAAGUGAUGAAAUAUAUUCUGGAUAAGAUAGACAAAGAGGAAAAGCAGGCAGCUAAGAAACGGAAGCGAGAGGAGAGCGUGGAGCAGAAGCGGAGCAAACAGAACGCGACCAAGCUCUCAGCUCUGCUCUUCAAGCACAAAGAGCAGCUGAAAGCUGAAAUUCUGAAAAAAAGAGCACUUCUGGACAAAGAUCUGCAGAUUGAAGUGCAGGAGGAGCUAAAGAGAGACUUGACUAAAAUUAAGAAGGAAAAGGAGCGAGCCCAGGCAGCAGCAGCAGCUGCAGCAGCCGCAGCCGCCGCGGCCGCCGCUGCGCCACCAGCACCGCCACCAGUGCCACCAGCCCCGCCACAGCUGCCAGCUGCCAGUGUCACCUCCUCCUCCUCCACCACUGUCCCCGUGCCAGUCUCCUCCCAGAAGAGGAAACGAGAGGAGGAGAAAGAUUCCUCGGCUUCCAAGUCCAAGAAAAAGAAAAUGAUUUCUACUACCUCAAAGGAAACGAAGAAGGACACAAAGCUUUACUGCAUCUGUAAAACGCCUUACGACGAGUCCAAGUUCUAUAUUGGCUGUGAUCUUUGUACUAACUGGUAUCAUGGAGAAUGUGUUGGAAUCACAGAAAAGGAGGCUAAGAAAAUGGAUGUGUACAUCUGUAAUGAGUGUAAACGGGCACAAGAGGGCAGCAGUGAGGAGUUGUACUGUAUCUGCAGAACACCUUAUGAUGAGUCGCAGUUUUACAUUGGCUGUGACCGGUGUCAGAACUGGUACCACGGGCGCUGCGUGGGCAUCCUGCAGAGCGAGGCCGACCUCAUCGAUGAGUACGUGUGCCCCCAGUGCCAGUCCACUGAGGAUGCCAUGACUGUGCUCAGCCCCCUCACUGACAAGGACUAUGAAGGCUUGAGGAGGGUCCUGCGCUCCUUGCAGGCUCACAAGAUGGCAUGGCCAUUCCUAGAGCCAGUAGAUCCCAACGAUGCCCCAGAUUAUUAUGGUGUCAUCAAAGAACCAAUGGACCUUGCUACCAUGGAAGAAAGAAUCCUGAAACGUUACUACAAAAAGGUGACGGAGUUUGUGGCAGACAUGACCAAAAUUUUUGAUAACUGCCGUUACUACAAUCCCAGUGACUCCCCUUUCUACCAGUGUGCAGAAGUUCUCGAGUCUUUCUUUGUACAGAAACUAAAAGGAUUUAAGGCAAGCAGGUCCCAUAACAACAAACUGCAGUCUACAGCUUCUUAGAGUUCAGCGUGUUAACCAAACACACGAGCAAGGACCUGGUUGUCUGACAAUUUUUAAUUAAGGAGCCAGAUGUUUUUAGUCAGGUUAUCCUGACAAGACUCGAUGUAAACUGCGUUUUUAUUGGUCACAACAGUCAAAUUAUAUUCUUGGCUUAUUUUGUCCAAAGGACAAAGAAAUAAAAAUCAGCAGCACCACUUUCUUGUCAAGAUCAAAUUGUUGUACUAUUGUGGCAGAAGCAGGAAAACUUUGUUUUGUUGAAGGAGAGAGAGAAAGAGAGCAAGAAAAAAGAUACAGUAAAUGGGGUCACGUUUAACUCCAUGGAAAUGCCACGUCUGUUCUUCAGUGAAGAAGCUGGUUUAAAGUCCACACAGAAAACUUUGACUGUAUUUAUUUAUUGUUGCAAAAAAGACGCUUUUUUAUUGCUGCCCUCAUUUGUCAGCUAAUUAUUUUUUCUUAUAAAAUCCAGCCCUGGUUCCAUGUAAUCCAUUCUGUAUCUUAACAUGAUUCCUGUAGGUAAAAGUACAAGAAGACCUCUAGAUGUCUUUUCUUUCUAUGAAAGGAGCUGCUAUGUACACAUGUGCACACACACAGGACUGGGAAUCAACAAGGAGUUUAUCAUUCAUGGUAGAUAAAAACAAGCUUGCAUAAAAUUUGGGCUGAGUGGUCAUGGACUACAGACUCUGUUGCCUUGAAUAUAACAAACAGUACAAUUUGUCAUUUACUCUGCACCAGACUGAACUGAGUAAAAUCUAUUUGAAGGUAUCUUGUUUGUAAACAUUUGUCAGAUUCUAAUUUUUUUUUCUUUUGUAUUAAAAUUCAAAAUAUGGAUGUAUAUGAAACAAAAUAAAUGGAGAUCAUUGUUCUCCCCACAGCAGUAGGUGUGUUUGAGUGUGCGCUGCCACGUGUGUGAGACACUGUGGGGAUCUGUGCAGGGAUUGCCAGGAGCAGGGGUGGGAUGGCCAAGGAGUGGGAUCCAACCCCAUCAGACAUUCCACAGGGGCCUGAAGGACUGUCCAGGAGGGACAGGGCAGGAGCUGUUGGUGGUUCCAGCCCUGUUAUCCUGUCAGACAUUCCCAAAGGAUGCCUGAAGGAAUGUCCAGCUGGGCCAGGGCAGGAGCUGUUUGUGGUUCCAGCUCUGUUAUCCCCAUCAGACAUUCCUACAAGGUGUCUGAAGGACUGUCCAGGUGAGACAGGGCAGGAGAUGUUUGUGGUUCCUGCCCUGACUGUCCAGGAGGGACAGGGCAGGAGCUGUUUGUGGUUCCAGCCCUGUUAUCCUGUCAGAUAUUCCCAAAGGAUGCCUGAAGCACUGUCCAGCUGGGCCAGGGCAGGAACAGUUUGUGAUUCCAGCCCUGACUGUCCAGCUGGGCCAGGGCAGGAGCUGUUGGUGAGGUUUUCCUGCCCACUGGAGCUCAGUGACCUUUGCCAGGUGCUCUGGGAAUGUGGAGCACCCCCUGUCAUUGUGUCCCUGGGGCUCCUGGGCUGCCCUGAGGGUGAAGUGCAGCCCAAGAAGAUGCCAGCUGCAGAUGAGGAGGCUUUUCCUUCCCUCUGUGUGACUGACUUGCUCUGGUCCCUGUCUGUAGCUCCCAGCCUGGUUUCUCUGCAGCUCCUCACCCACCUGAGCAGCUUUUGCACUAACUCACAGUCAACUUCUGUUCUCCAGUGGUUUGGGAUUUACCUGAUUUAUGGAUAAGCUCCUUUUGGGUUUAACCUCACACCUUGCUAUGCAAGAACCUCUUCUGUUAUUUUUCUUAAAAAAGAUGUUGCUACUGACCACCCUUUCUUACACUUCCAGCUCAGGUGUUCAGGUUCUUCUGGGGGGAUUUUCUCUACUAAAAACCCGUGUGUUUUUGUACAUACAAAUGUUGUCAUUUAACCAAUCUGUGAAAAUUACUAAUUGUUCAGUGUGAAAACAAUAAUCCAUUUAUGCUUCUGAAAGUCAAAGAAGAGUAGUUGCAUUUAGGUUAUGUUGUCCUUCGAAGUUUUUAAAAAAUGCUGCAUAUUGUAAGCAUUGUGUUUUAAUGGGACAAGGAAAAAUCUCACCUUUACCAGCACUGGGGCAUAUCCUGCAUCUCAUCCCAACUUCUCAGCAUUUCUGUACUAUUUAUUCAUACCUAACUCCAUAUUGACAUGGUUGAAACCUUUCCUACCUGUAGGCAAUAGAUUGCUGUUUUUAACAAAUUGUGGCAAAAUGAAGAGUACUUUUUUGUACCUUAUAGGACACAUCAUCCUAGACAAAUAAAGUAAUGUGUUUGACAUGGAUUUGGUGGUGUUUCUAAUGAAACAUUGAUCAUGUUCUUGGAUAUAGGUCUUGGCUUUGCCAGAUCAUAUGUAACUGUGGAUCAGGUUGAUUAGGGAAAUAAUCCAUCCAUACAAAUUAAUGCUGCUGAUUAAUCACCCAACCCAAGCCAUUCUGUGAUUCCAUGAGAGCCUGUUUCAGUGUGUUCAGUGUCCAUUGGGCAGGUCAAGGUACUUCUCUGGAUUUGCUAGUGGUGAUGUUUUAUAGUUAAAUGCUGUUACAGAAAAUAAAUCACUUGUAAUUAAUCCCCACCUGCCAUCAAGCAUAAAGUUCAUAAGAUUUGUGA